rnacentral:rRNA from 1 species
UACGAGGGGGGCGAGCGUUGUUCGGAAUUAUUGGGCGUAAAGGGUGCGUAGGCGGGUCUUUAAGUCAGGGGGGAAAUCCUGGAGCUCAACUCCAGAACUGCCUUUGAUACUGAAGAUCUUGAGUUCGGGAGAGGUGAGUGGAACUGCGAGUGUAGAGGUGAAAUUCGUAGAUAUUCGCAAGAACACCAGUGGCGAAGGCGGCUCACUGGCCCGAUACUGACGCUGAGGCACGAAAGCGUGGGGAGCAAACAGG